AGAGUUUGAUCAUGGCUCAGAACGAACGCUGGCGGCAGGCUUAACACAUGCAAGUCGAACGCACCUUCGGGUGAGUGGCAGACGGGUGAGUAACGCGUGGGAACGUGCCCUUCAGUUCGGAAUAACCCAGGGAAACUUGGGCUAAUACCGGAUACGUGCGAGAGCAGAAAGAUUUAUCGCUGAAGGAUCGGCCCGCGUCUGAUUAGCUAGUUGGUGGGGUAAUGGCCCACCAAGGCGACGAUCAGUAGCUGGUCUGAGAGGAUGAUCAGCCACAUUGGGACUGAGACACGGCCCAAACUCCUACGGGAGGCAGCAGUGGGGAAUAUUGGACAAUGGGCGCAAGCCUGAUCCAGCCAUGCCGCGUGAGUGAUGAAGGCCUUAGGGUUGUAAAGCUCUUUCGGCGGGGACGAUAAUGACGGUACCCGCAGAAGAAGCCCCGGCUAACUUCGUGCCAGCAGCCGCGGUAAUACGAAGGGGGCUAGCGUUGUUCGGAAUCACUGGGCGUAAAGGGCGCGUAGGCGGCUUGAUAAGUCGGGGGUGAAAGCCUGUGGCUCAACCACAGAAUUGCCUUCGAUACUGUCUGGCUUGAGACCGGAAGAGGUAAGUGGAACUGCGAGUGUAGAGGUGAAAUUCGUAGAUAUUCGCAAGAACACCAGUGGCGAAGGCGGCUUACUGGUCCGGUUCUGACGCUGAGGCGCGAAAGCGUGGGGAGCAAACAGGAUUAGAUACCCCAGUAGUCC
rnacentral:rRNA from 3 species